UCCCUGGUGGUCCAGUGGCUAAGACUCUGUGCUCCUGACGCAGAGGGCCUGAGUUCAAUUCCUUGUCAGAGAA
rnacentral:tRNA from 1 species